rnacentral:rRNA from 1 species
UACGGAGGGUGCAAGCGUUAUCCGGAUUUACUGGGUUUAAAGGGUGCGUAGGCGGCCCUGUAAGUCAGUGGUGAAAUGCUCUAGCUUAACUAGAGAGGUGCCAAUGAUACUGCAGGGCUUGAGUACAGAUGAGGUAGGCGGAAUUGACGGUGUAGCGGUGAAAUGCAUAGAUAUCGUCAAGAACACCUAUAGCGAAGGCAGCUUACUGGGCUGUAACUGACGCUGAGGCACGAAAGUGUGGGGAUCAAACAGG